rnacentral:rRNA from 1 species
CUACGUGCCAGCAGCCGCGGUAAUACGGAAGGUCCAGGCGUUAUCCGGAUUUAUUGGGUUUAAAGGGAGUGUAGGCGGUUUGUUAAGCGUGUUGUGAAAUUUAGAUGCUCAACAUUUAACUUGCAGCGCGAACUGUCAGACUUGAGUACACGCAACGUAUGCGGAAUUCAUGGUGUAGCGGUGAAAUGCUUAGAUAUCAUGAAGAACUCCGAUUGCGAAGGCAGCAUACGGGAGUGUAACUGACGCUUAAGCUCGAAGGUGCGGGUAUCGAACAGGAUUAGAUACCCUGGUAGUCCGCACAGUAAACGAUGGAUGCCCGCUGUUAGCGCCUGGCGUUAGCGGCUAAGCGAAAGCWUUAAGCAUCCCACCUGGGGAGUACGCCGGCAACGGUGAAACUCAAAGGAAUUGACGGGGGCCCGCACAAGCGGAGGAACAUGUGGUUUAAUUCGAUGAUACGCGAGGAACCUUACCCGGGCUUGAA